rnacentral:rRNA from 1 species
CUACGGGACGCUGCAGUGAGGAAUAUUGCACAAUGGAGGAAACUCUGAUGCAGCAACGCCGCGUGGAGGAUGACGCAUUUCGGUGUGUAAACUCCUUUUAUAUGUCAAGAAAAUGACGGUAGCAUAUGAAUAAGCACCGGCUAACUCCGUGCCAGCAGCCGCGGUAAUACGGAGGGUGCAAGCGUUACUCGGAAUCACUGGGCGUAAAGGACGCGUAGGCGGGAUAUCAAGUCAGGUGUGAAAUCCUACAGCUUAACUGUAGAACUGCACUUGAAACUGGUAACCUAGAGUAUGGGAGGGGGAGAUGGAAUUAGUGGUGUAGGGGUAAAAUCCGUAGAUAUCACUAGGAAUACCUAAAGCGAAGGCGAUCUCCUGGAACAUUACUGACGCUAAGGCGUGAAAGCGUGGGGAGCAAACAGGAUUAGAUACCCUCGUAGUC